rnacentral:rRNA from 1 species
AGCCUGAACGCUGGCGGCGUGGCUAAGACAUGCAAGUCGAACGGGUGUAGCAAUACACCAGUGGCGGACGGGUGAGUAAUGUAUCGCUAACGUGCCCUGGAGCCAGGGAUAGCUGUCCGAAAGGGCAGGUAAUACCUGAUGACAUAACCUUAUCGCAUGACAAGGUUCUCAAAGCAGCAAUGCAC